UUUCCCUACGGGACGCAGCAGUGGGGGAUAUUGCACAAUGGGGGGAACCCUGAUGCAGCGACGCCGCGUGGGCGAUGGAGCGCCUCGGCGCGUAAAUCCCUAUCAGCAGGGAAGAAGAUGACGGUACCUGACUAAGAAGCCCCGGCUAAAUCCGUGCCAGCAGCCGCGGUAAUACUUAUGGGGCAAGCGUUAUCCGGAUUUACUGGGUGUAAAGGGACCGCAGCCGCCCUGGCAAGCCUGAUGUGAAAUCCCGGGCCCCACCCCCGGGGCUGCAUUGGGAACUGCCAGGCUGGAGUGCCGGAGAG
rnacentral:rRNA from 1 species